GACGAACGCUGGCGGCGCGCUUAACACAUGCAAGUCGAGCGAAGCGGCGGACGGGUGAGUAACACGUGAGUAACCUGCCUUAGACAUUGGGAUAGCCUCGGGAAACCGGGAUUAAUACCAAAUGGUCUAAGAUGGACUCGCGUCCCAUUAGCUAGUUGGUGAGGUAACGGCCCACCAAGGCGAGGAUGGGUAGCCGGCCUGAGAGGGUGAACGGCCACAUUGGAACUGAGAACCGGUCCAAACUAUGCGGGAGGCAGCAGUGGGGAAUAUUGCACAAGGGAGGGAACUCUGAUGCAGCGAGGCCGCGUGAGCGAGGAAGGCUUUCGAGUCGUAAAGUUCUUUUAUAUUGGAAGCGGUACCAGCAGAAGAAGCCCCGGCUAACUACGUGCCAGCCGCCGCGGUAAGUC
rnacentral:rRNA from 1 species